UACGUAGGGUCCGAGCGUUGUCCGGAAUUAUUGGGCGUAAAGGGCUCGUAGGCGGUCUGUUGCGUCGGGAGUGAAAAUUCACAGCUUAACUGUGAAUUUGCUUCCGAUACGGGCAGACUUGAGGUAUUCAGGGGAGAACGGAAUUCCUGGUGUAGCGGUGAAAUGCGCAGAUAUCAGGAGGAACACCGGUGGCGAAGGCGGUUCUCUGGGAAUAUCCUGACGCUGAGGAGCGAAAGUGUGGGGAGCGAACAGG
rnacentral:rRNA from 1 species